rnacentral:rRNA from 1 species
AUUGAACGCUGGCGGCAGGCCUAACACAUGCAAGUCGAGCGAGCGGCGGACGGGUGAGUAAUGUCUGGGAAACUGCCUGAUGGAGGGGGAUAACUACUGGAAACGGUAGCUAAUACCGCAUACCAUCAGAUGUGCCCAUAUGGGAUUAGCUGGUAGGUGGGGUAACGGCUCCCCUAGGCGACGAGCCCUAGCUGGUCGGAGGGGAGGACCAGCCACACUGGAACUGAGACACGUUCCAGCCUCCUACGGUAGGCAACAGUGGGGAAUAGUGCACAAUGGGCGCAAGCCUGAUGCAUCCCUGCCGAGUGUGUGAAGAAGGCCUUCGGGUUGUAAAGCACUUUCAGCGGGGAGGCGUUACCCGCAGAAGAAGCACCGGCUAACUCCGUGCCAGCCGCCGCGGUAAUUC